rnacentral:rRNA from 1 species
GACGAACGCUGGCGGCGUGCUUAACACAUGCAAGUCGAACGGAAAGGCCCUGCUUUUGUGGGGUGCUCGAGUGGCGAACGGGUGAGUAACACGUGAGUAACCUGCCCUUGACUUUGGGAUAACUUCAGGAAACUGGGGCUAAUACCGGAUAGGAUCUCCUGCUGCAUGGUGGGGGUUGGAAAGUUUCGGCGGUUGCGGAUGGACUCGCGGCUUAUCAGCUUGUUGGUGGGGUAGUGGCUUACCAAGGCUUUGACGGGUAGCCGGCCUGAGAGGGUGACCGGCCACAUUGGGACUGAGAGACGGACCAGACUCCUACGGGAGGCAGCAGUGGGGAAUAUUGCACAAUGGGCGGAAGCCUGAUGCAGCAACGCCGCGUGCGGGAUGACGGCCUUCGGGUUGUAAACCGCUUUCGCCUGUGACGAAGCGUGAGUGACGGUAAUGGGUAAAGAAGCACCGGCUAACUACGUG